rnacentral:rRNA from 1 species
UCGAUUAUGGCUCAGAUUGAACGCUGGCGGAUGCUUUUACACAUGCAAGUCGAACGGCAGCACGGACUUCGGUCUGGUGGCGAGUGGCGAACGGGUGAGUAAUGUAUCGGAACGUGCCUAGUAGCGGGGGAUAACUACGCGAAAGCGUAGCUAAUACCGCAUACUGCCCUUCGGGGGAAAGCGGGGACCUUCGGGCCUCGCACUAUUAGAGCGGCCGAUACGGAUUAGCUAGUUGGUGGGGUAACGGCUCACCAAGGCGACGAUCCGUAGCUGGUUUGAGAGGACGACCAGCCACACUGGGACUGAGACACGUGGCCCAGACUACGGGAGGCAGCAGUGGGGAAUUUUGACAAUGGGGGAAACCUGAUCCAGCCAUCCCGCGUGUGCGAUGAAGGCCUUCGGGUUGUAAAGCACUUUUGGCAGGAAGAAACGGCACGGGAUAAUACCCCGUGCAACUGACGGUACCCUGCAGAAUAAGCACCGGCUAACUACGUGCCAGCAGCCGCGGUAAUAUGUAGGGUGCAAGCGUUAAUCGGAAUUACUGGGCGUAAAGCGCAGCAGGCGGUUCGAAAGAAAGAUGUGAAAUCCCAGAGCUUUAACUUUGGAACUGCAUUUUUAACUACCGAGCUAGAGUGUGUCAGAGGGAGGUGGAAUUCCGCAUGUAGCAGUGAAAUGCGUAGAUAUGCGGAGGAACCGAUGGCGAAGGCAGCCUCCGGGAUAACACUGACGCUCAUGCACGAAAGCGUGGGGAGCAAACAGGAUUAGAUACCCUGGUAGUUCACGCCCUAAACGAUGUCAACUAGCUGUUGGGGCCUUCGCCUUGGUAGCUAACGCGCGAAGUUGACCGCCUGGGGAGUACGGUCGCAAGAUUAAAACUCAAAGGAAUUGACGGGGACCGCACAAGCGGUGGAUGAUGUGGAUUAAUUGAUGCAACGCGAAAAAACCUUACUCACCCUUGACAUGUUCGGAAUCCCGAAGAGAUUUGGGAGUGCCUGCAAGAGAACCGGAACACAGGUGCUGCAUGGCUGUCGUCAGCUCGUGUCGAGAUGUUGGGUUAAGUCCCGCAACGAGCGCAACCCUUGUCAUUAGUUGCUACGAAAGGGCACUCUAAUGAGACUGCCGGUGACAAACCGGAGGAAGGUGUGGAUGACGUCAAGUCCUCAUGGCCCUUAUGGGUAGGGCUUCACACGUCAUACAAUGGUCGGGACAGAGGGUCGCCAACCCGCGAGGGGGAGCCAAUCCCAGAAACCCGAUCGUAGUCCGGAUCGCAGCCUGCAACUCGACUGCGUGAAGUCGGAAUCGCUAGUAAUCGCGGAUCAGCAUGUCGCGGUGAAUACGUUCCGGGUCUUUGCACACACCGCCCGUCACACCAUGGGAGUGGGUCUUACCAGAAGUAGUUAGCCUAACCGUAAGGAGGGCGAUUACCACGGUAGGAUUCAUGACUGGGGUGAAGUCGUAACAAGGUAG